rnacentral:snoRNA from 1 species
AAGACUAUACUUUCAGGGAUCAUUUCUAUAGUUUGUAACUGGUGAAAUGUGCUCGAUAGUGUCAAACUCAGUAAUCACGAUGAGGAGCUUCAGUGUUCUCUCCUGAGCGUGAAAAGUGUGCUCGGUGCUGCUUUACUGUAGCUGCCUUGUACAGUUGAUGAUCGUUCUUCGUGGAGGGAGAGAACACAAGCUGAGUGGU